rnacentral:rRNA from 1 species
AUUGAACGCUGGCGGCAGGCCUAACACAUGCAAGUCGAGCGGAUGAAGGGAGCUUGCUCCUGGAUUCAGCGGCGGACGGGUGAGUAAUGCCUAGGAAUCUGCCUGGUAGUGGGGGAUAACGUCCGGAAACGGGCGCUAAUACCGCAUACGACCUGAGGGAGAAAGUGGGGGAUCUUCGGACCGCACGCUAUCAGAUGAGCCUAGGUCGGAUUAGCUAGUUGGUGGGGUAAAGGCGUACCAAGGCGACGAUCCGUAACUGGUCUGAGAGGAUGAUCAGUCAAACUGGAACUGAGACCCGGUCCAGACUCCUACGGGAGGCAGCAGUGGGGAAUAGUGGACAAUGGGCGAAAGCCUGAUCCAGCCAGGCCGCGUGUGUGAAGAAGGUCCUCGGAUUGUAAAGCACUUUAAGUUGGGAGGAAGGGCAGUCAGUUAAUACCUUGCUGUUUUGACGUUACCAACAGAAUAAGCCCCGGCUAACUUCGUG